GGUUGCGAUCAUACCAGCACUAAUGCACCGGAUCCCAUCAGAACUCCGCAGUUAAGCGUGCUUGGGCGAGAGUAGUACUAGGAUGGGUGACCCCCUGGGAAGUCCUCGUGUUGGCAACCC
rnacentral:rRNA from 1 species